GCCGCGUGUGUGACGAAGGCCUUCGGGUCGUAAAGCACUGUCAGCCGGGAAGAAGACAUGCGUGCAAACCACGCGUGUGUUGACGGUACCGGCGAAGGAAGCACCGGCCAACUCCGUGCCAGCAGCCGCGGUAAUACGGAGGAGGCAAGCGUUAUUCGGAAUUAUUGGGCGUAAAGCGUCCGCAGGGGGCUCAUCAAGUCUGCUGUCAAAGGUCGGAGCUCAACUCCGGUUCGGCAGUGGAAACUGGUGGGCUAGAGGGCGACAGGGGUAGAGGGAAUUCCCAGUGUAGCGGUGAAAUGCGUAGAGAUUGGAAAGAACACCGGUGGCGAAAGCGCUCUACUGGGUCGCACCUGACCCUCAGGGACGAAAGCUAAGGUAGCG
rnacentral:rRNA from 1 species